rnacentral:hammerhead_ribozyme from 1 species
AUCCGACUAGCGAGUCCCAAAUAGGAGGAAAUGCGCAUCUUGGAU